rnacentral:rRNA from 1 species
GAUGAACGCUAGCGGCAGGCCUAACACAUGCAAGUCGAACGGGAUCCACCUUCGGGUGGUGAGAGCGGCGCACGGGUGCGUAACGCGUAUGCAACCUAGCUUUUGAUACGGGGUAGCCCAGGGAAACACGGAUUAACACCGUAUAGUAAUCGGUCUUCUUACGGGGGCUGUCUUAAAGGCUACGGCAAAAGAUGGGCAUGCGUCCUAUUAGCUGGAUGGUAAGGUAACGGCGUACCAUGGCUAGGAUAGGUAGGGGCACUGAGAGGGGGAUACCCCACACUGGUACUGGGACACGGACCAGACGCCUACGGGAGGGAGCAGUGAGGAAUAUUGGACAAUGGUCGGAAGCCUGAUCCAGCCAUGCCGCGUGCAGGAAGACGGCCCUAUGGGUGGUAAACUGCUUUUGUACGGGAAGAAACACCCCCUCGGGAGGGAGCUUGACGGUACCGUAAGAAUAAGGAUCGGCUAACUCCGUGCCAGCAGCCGCUGUAAGAC